rnacentral:lncRNA from 1 species
AUAUAUAUAUAUAUAUUAAAAAAUAUAUAAAUAUAAUAUAUUUUAAUUAUAUAUAGGUUGAAUGAAUAAUCUGAAUUUAGUUAAAAUUGGGCUAAUAUUGUUGGCCAAUAAAAACAAACGGAAUAGAUAAAUAAAAGAGCAAAAUUUUAUUAAAUUUAUACAUUUUUUCUUUCUUUCUUUCAUAUAGCUCUAAAUUUUCAAUAUAUUCCUCUUUUUCUCUUUUUCUGUCUCAUACCCUAUGUGGCCAAGCCGGAAACCCUCAAAGUUACCAAAUAGCAGCAUAUGCCUGCCGUUGCCUAUCUUGCUAUUAAUUGUAUGCUUGAGAAUAUAUGCAGAAUAUUUUUAAAGUAAAAAAUUAUUAUUCAUAUAAAAUUUUAAUUUUAGUUAUAUAUAAUUGGAUAGUUUAAUCCAAUAUUUAUCUAUAUAUAUAAUUUAUUUAUUUUUGACUGUAUAAAUGAAAAUAAAUAUAUAUGGAGAUUGAAGGCGGAAGAAAAGACAUGUGAGACUGAAAAGAUUAGAUAUUCAACUCAUAAUUUUUUUUUUUUCAUAUUAUAAUACUAUAUUUUAAAUAAUUAUUUUAUACUUUGAAUUAUUAGACAUAUUUUUGUAUCAAAUUAUAGAUAAUGUUCUAUACAAAUUAAAUUAUUGAUUGUAUGAUGUUGAGGAUUACAAGCGGCUCGUUUAGGGCUCGAGCUCGCUCGACUCGAAAUUACGCUCGCUCGAGCUCGGCUCGAAUUAAUUUCAAUCCAAGCUUGAG